rnacentral:rRNA from 1 species
GUAAGGAAUAUUGGACAAUGGGCGCAAGCCUGAUCCAGCCAUGCCGCGUGAAGGAUGAAGGCCCUAUGGGUCGUAAACUUCUUUUAUACGGGAAAAAACCCCCCGACGUGUCGGGGGUUGAUGGUACUGUAAGAAUAAGGGUCGGCUAACUUCGUGCCAGCAGCCGCGGUAAUACGAAGGACCCGAGCGUUAUCCGGAUUUAUUGGGUUUAAAGGGUGCGUAGGCGGAUUGAUAAGUCAGUGGUGAAAGCCUCCCGCUUAACGGGAGAAUUGCCAUUGAUACUGUCAGUCUUGAGUAUGGUUGAGGUGGGCGGAAUGUGUCAUGUAGCGGUGAAAUGCUUAGAUAUGACACAGAACACCAAUUGCGAAGGCAGCUCGCUAAACCAUAACUGACGCUGAUGCACGAAAGCGUGGGUAGCAAACAGGAUUAGAAACCCGUGUAGUCC